rnacentral:rRNA from 1 species
GAUGAACGCUGGCGGCGUGCCUAAUACAUGCAAGUCGAGCGGACGGACGAGAAGCUUGCUUCUCUGAUGUUAGCGGCGGACGGGUGAGUAACACGUGGAUAACCUACCUAUAAGACUGGGAUAACUUCGGGAAACCGGAGCUAAUACCGGAUGAUAUUUUGAACCACAUGGUUCAAAAGUGAAAGACGGUCUUGCUGUCACUUAUAGAUGGAUCCGCGCUGCAUUAGCUAGUUGGUAAGGUAACGGCUUACCAAGGCAACGAUGCAUAGCCGACCUGAGAGGGUGAUCGGCCACACUGGAACUGAGACACGGUCCAGACUCCUACGGGAGGCAGCAGUAGGGAAUCUUCCGCAAUGGGCGAAAGCCUGACGGAGCAACGCCGCGUGAGUGAUGAAGGUCUUCGGAUCGUAAAACUCUGUUAUUAGGGAAGAACAUAUGUGUAAGUAACUGUGCACAUCUUGACGGUACCUAAUCAGAAAGCCACGGCUAACUACGUG